AUCACCGGAUCGCGGUACCGUCACGACGACAUUCACGACGACACGGCGGAAGUCCGGUGCAAAUCCGGCACGGUCGCGCCACUGUAAGCCCAGCCCAGCGCCAGGCGAGUCAGACCCGCAGUCGUCCGACAGAGCUC
rnacentral:ncRNA from 2 species